rnacentral:rRNA from 1 species
UACGAAGGGGGCUAGCGUUGCUCGGAAUCACUGGGCGUAAGGGGUGCGUAGGCGGGUUUUAAGUCAGGGGUGAAAUCCUGGAGCUCAACUCCAGAACUGCCUUUGAUACUGAAGAUCUUGAGUCCGGGAGAGGUGAGUGGAACUGCGAGUGUAGAGGUGAAAUUCGUAGAUAUCGGGAGGAACACCAGUGGCGAAGGCGGCCACCUGGACGAACACUGACGCUGAGACGCGAAAGCGUGGGAGCAAAGCAGG